rnacentral:rRNA from 1 species
GACGUAGGGCGCGAGCGUUGUCCGGAUUUAUUGGGCGUAAAGAGCUCGUAGGCGGCUUGUCGCGUCGUUCGUGAAAACCUGCAGCUCAACUGCAGGCUUGCGGUCGAUACGGGCAGGCUGGAGUUCGGUAGGGGAGACUGGAAUUCCUGGUGUAGCGGUGAAAUGCGUAGAUAUCCGGAGGAACACCGGUGGCGAAGGCGGCUUCCUGGACCGAUUACUGACGCUGAGGCGCGAAAGCUAGGGGAGCAAACGGG